rnacentral:tRNA from 1 species
UGAAAAUCCUCCUUCUUUAUUGUAAUACAUAUAUGGUCAGAUGCUGGAGUUCAAGAUCAUUUGUAUUUUUUUUUACGCGGAAUUCCUAACUAAAGUAGAUAUGUAGAAUGAACCAAUAGAUGAGAUUUUCCUGUCCCCCAAAAAGAAAAAAAAAAACCCCUUCCUCCCGAGCAUUAACGAUAAAUAUUAAUUUUUUUUAUACGUUAGGUUGGGUUUCAGAUGUAUAUAAUUCUUUUAUUAUAUGAAACCAAAAAGAAGAAAUGACAAUAAAGUUGUAUAUAAAUGUAGGAUAAAAUAAUGAUGUGGAAAACAAGACACGGAUUUUGUACAAUGACACUGUACAACAAUUUUGAAAAGGGAUGUAGCGCAGCUUGGUAGCGCGUUUGUUUUGGGUACAAAAUGUCACGGGUUCAAAUCCUGUCAUCCCUA